rnacentral:rRNA from 1 species
CCAGCCUGCCCAGUGACAAGAUUAAACGGCCGCGGUACCCUAACCGUGCGAAGGUAGCAUAAUCACUUGUUCUUUAAAUGAGGACUAGUAUCAACGGCAUCACGAGGGUCCUACUGUCUCCCCCCUCUAAUCAGUGAAACUGAUCUCCCCGUGAAGAAGCGGGGAUAACCAUAUAAGACGAGAAGACCCCAUGGAGCUUUAAACCCACAGCACCCGCUUACUUUACACCUUCUUAUACAUCCGGUGUUUGUCUGUUCGGUUUUAGGUUGGGGUGACCGCGGAGCAUAAAAUAACCUCCAUGAAGAAGGGGAUAACUCCCUUAUUUAAGAGCCACAUCUCUAAAGACUAACAAAUUAAUUUUAAAUGAUCCGAUAUACUAUAUUCGAUCAACGAACCAAGUUACCCUGGGGAUAACAGCGCAAUCCACCCCGAGAGCCCCUAUCGACAGGUGGGUUUACGACCUCGAUGUUGGAUCAGGGUAUCCCAGUGGUGCAGCAGCUACCAAAGGUUCGUUUGUUCAACGAUUAAAACCCU